rnacentral:rRNA from 1 species
UGGGAGUGUGGGGCAAGCAGGCGCGGGAAGGGGAAGGGGGGGAGCGUGGGUGGGAAUUAGUGGGCGGAAAGCGAGUGGAGGUGGUUGUCAUAGGCAGGCGUGAAAGCCGUGAGCUCAACGCAAGAAAUGCGCUUGAUACUGGGCAGCUAGAGGACCGGAGAGGAUAGUGGAAUUCCCAGUGUAGUGGUGAAAUACGUAGAGAUUGGGAAGAACACCAGUGGCGAAGGCGGCUAUCUGGACGGUUUCUGACACUAAGACUCGAAAGCGUGGGGAGCAAACAGGAUUAGAUACCCAGUAGUC